CACGCUGUAAACGGUGAGUACUGGGUGUGGGAGGUGUAAUGCCUUCUGUGCCGAAGCUAACGCGUUAAGUACUCCGCCUGGGGAGUACGGCCGCAAGGUUGAAACUCAAAGGAAUUGACGGGGGCCCGCACAAGCGGUGGAGCAUGUGGUUUAAUUCGACGCAACGCGAAAAACCUUACCUGGGCUUGACAUGGAGAGAAGUCGGAUGAAAGUCCGAUGUGCCUCGUAAGAGGAGCUCUCACACAGGUGC
rnacentral:rRNA from 1 species